ACCUUUUGGUGUUAGUGUACAAACACAAUAACAUUCUAAUUUAUUUCAGUUGCAGAAAAUUAGUACAUAUUAUUAAACAAUCUUUAUCCACUGUAAUUAGUACACAUUAGAAUAUAUUAGAACUGGACUUAAGCAGAUAAUCUGGAUACAUAACACUAUCAUAUGACAGUAUAUAAUCUCAAUUAAAAUUUGAGAAUUUGCAUCUCUUUCUGUUUGGUGUUGAUUUCAGCUCCUAAUAAUUUAAAUGGUGCCUACAAUCCAGUUAGGAAUCUUUUAGAAAAGCACUUCAGUGCACUGUAGGGGCUCACUAGUUAGGGUUUCAUGAGGUAAACUCUUUUCAAGUGAGGAAGGUUUUGGAACACUAUAAAUCAUCUGCUGAUUCAUUUUUGGUAGAUUUAACACAUAACAAAUUAAGUUUAGUCCAAACAAAUGGUGACCAAGUUAAGUUUGCUGGUUCACGUUUUUUUUCUUCCUUGGGCUAAGGUGAAUUAUUUUUCACAUGUUAGUCAGAAGCCAGUAAUGUGGCAGUAGCUAAACAUAGAUUAAAAAGUUAAUUCUUAAUUUUAAUUAUUUAUUUAACAGUUAAAUUUUAAUUUUAAUUAUUUUCUAAUUUUUCAUCGUCCAUACUUGAUUAGUUAAGAAUGAAAUUUUUUUAAAACAUGCACUCCAAAAGAGGAGACAUCACAGAAACACAACAAGCAAAUUAACCUUUUGUUUUUGCCUCUGCAGAAAAUGUCUCAAGAACCAGAAAUAAAUAAGGAUGGUGAUAGAGAGGUUGAAGAAGAAAUGAAGAAGCAUGAAAGUAAUAAUGUGGGAUUACUAGAAAACCUGACUAAUGGUGCCACUGCUGGCAAUGGUGAUGAUGGAUUAAUUCCUCAAAGGAAGAGCAGAACACCUGAAAAUCAGCAAUUUCCUGACAACGAAAGUGAAGAGUAUCACAGGUAAGCCUAUGGCAACAUUGAACAGGAGAUAACUAUGUGCUGUCAAACUAACCCUAAU
rnacentral:lncRNA from 1 species